UUGGAUGAAGAGUUGAACAUAUAUACUGAGUGGGCAGUUAUGCAAUGCAUUUCUGCAAAUAAAUGGGCAGAUGCAUUAGUUAUUGCAAAUAAAUGAGCUUAGUGAACACUAGGCCCCUGAAAUUCUGGAAGGAAACCUCUGCUCUUCUUUGUAGUAGUUCAAAAUCGCUGCUUUUGAAAAUACUCAAGCACAUGGUGGGUCCUAUUACGGUGCCGAUAAUUCCAAUUAUAAUAGAAAUUAUUAUCAGCAUGGUGUUUCUGGAAUUCAAUAUCCUGAUAGCUAUCAACAACCAUUUGAUCCUAGAUACGGAAGAGGUUAUGGUGCUCCUACUCCACCCAGCAACCUCAACAGCCUAAUUUGUUUGUUCCACUGCAGACCACCCAAGUUGCACAAACUCCCCAAGUUGCACAGCGCCAAUGACCUUUUUGCAGAGGGUGGGGAGGUUGGUAGAAGAUGGAAGGAAGAGAUGAGGGAGAGAGAGGGAGAAAAGGUGAGAAACACUGACUCAGCGCAAGAAAAGAAAAUCAUGUCAGUCUACCGUUAGCCACGUCAGCUGGUUUUUAACGGUGUUAAUUUUGGAGGACUAAAAUCAAAGUUUCCUUAAGGAGGAGGACUAAAAUGUACCUUACUUUGAAAGAGGGACUAAACCCAAAAUCGCUUGAUAG